UUCAUUUUAAACGUGUCGUCAAUAAAUUAGAUGUACUCCAGUCUAUGUAGUGUUUUACCGGAAAAAAUGUGUUAAUUCUACAUCUGUAAAGCUGCAUUCAUAUAAAGAAACAAGGUAUCUGGGAUCCAAACUUUUAUUAGGAGAACGAUGAAUGUAAGGAUCACUUCCCAAAAUCCUGGAGAAUAAUUUAAUACAUUUUUGUGCAAACAUUUAGUCUUGUUCAAAUAUCCUUUUUUGAUACCAAUGGUUUCUUUAUUGAAAUAUAUCUUUGUUAAUUUAA